UUCAAGAUUCUAAGGGCAAACGGUGGAUGCCUUGGCAUCUGGAGCCGAAGAAGGACGUAUAAAUCUGCGAUAAGCCUCGGGGAGCUGAUAAUAGAGCUUUGAUCCGAGGAUCUCCGAAUGGGGAAACCCCGCCAGGCCCUUUGGGUGACCUGGUGACUCCCGCCUGAAUAUAUAGGGCGGGUAGAGGGAACGUGGGGAAGUGAAACAUCUCAGUACCCACAGGAAGAGAAAGCAAAAGCGAUUCCGUUAGUAGUGGCGAGCGAAACCGGAAGAGGCCAAACCGAUCAUGUGUGAUAUCCGGUAGGAGUUGCAUGGUCGGGGUUGCGGGACUUUCCGUACAGUUCUACCGAGCUGUGAGGGCAAUGAGCGCGAUAUAGACGAAUGGUCUUGAAAGGCCAGUCAUAGAGGGUGCGAACCCCGUAGUCGAAAUGUCGUCGCCUGUCCGGAGAGUAUCCCAAGUAGCACGGGGCCCGAGAAAUCCCGUGUGAAUCUGUCAGGACCACCUGAUAAGCCUAAAUACUCCCAGAUGACCGAUAGCGGACAAGUACCGUGAGGGAAAGGUGAAAAGUACCCCGGGAGGGGAGUGAAAUAGUACCUGAAACCGUUUGCUUACAAACCGUUGGAGCGCCCUUGUUGGUGUGACAGCGUGCCUUUUGAAGAAUGAGCCUGCGAGUUAGUGAUAUGUGGCGAGGUUAACCCGUGAGGGGCAGUCGUAGCGAAAGCGAGUCUUAAUAGGGCGUAUGAGUCGCAUGUUCUAGACCCGAAGCGAAGUGAUCUAUCCAUGGCCAGGUUGAAGCGACGGUAAGACGUCGUGGAGGACCGAACCCACUUCAGUUGAAAAUGGAGGGGAUGAGCUGUGGAUAGGGGUGAAAGGCCAAUCAAACUUCGUGAUAGCUGGUUCUCUCCGAAAUGCAUUUAGGUGCAGCGUUGCGUGUUUCUUGCCGGAGGUAGAGCUACUGGAUGGACGAUGGGCCCCAAAAGGUUACUGACUUCAGCCAAACUCCGAAUGCCGGUAAGUGAGAGCGCAGCAGUGAGACGGUGGGGGAUAAGCUUCAUCGUCGAGAGGGAAACAACCCAGACCACCAUCUAAGGUCCCUAAGCGCGUGCUAAGUGGGAAAGGAUGUGGAGUUGCAUAGACAACCAGGAGGUUGGCUUAGAAGCAGCCACCCUUGAAAGAGUGCGUAAUAGCUCACUGGUCAAGUGAUUCCGCGCCGACAAUGUAACGGGGCUCAAGCACGCCACCGAAGUUGUGGCAUUUAUAUUAUAGGCAGGCCUUCGUGGUCCAG
rnacentral:rRNA from 1 species